UAGAGUUUGAUCCUGGCUCAGAUUGAACGCUGGCGGCAGGCUUAACACAUGCAAGUCGAGCGGAGCGAAGGUGCUUGCACCUUAGCUUAGCGGCGGACGGGUGAGUAAUGCUUAGGAAUCUGCCUAUUAGUGGGGGACAACGUUUCGAAAGGAACGCUAAUACCGCAUACGUCCUACGGGAGAAAGCAGGGGAUCUUCGGACCUUGUGCUAAUAGAUGAGCCUAAGUCGGAUUAGCUAGUUGGUGGGGUAAAGGCCUACCAAGGCGACGAUCUGUAGCGGGUCUGAGAGGAUGAUCCGCCACACUGGGACUGAGACACGGCCCAGACUCCUACGGGAGGCAGCAGUGGGGAAUAUUGGACAAUGGGCGAAAGCCUGAUCCAGCCAUGCCGCGUGUGUGAAGAAGGCCUUUUGGUUGUAAAGCACUUUAAGCGAGGAGGAGGCUUCUUUGGUUAAUACCCAAAGUAAGUGGACGUUACUCGCAGAAUAAGCACCGGCUAACUCUGUGCCAGCAGCCGCGGUAAUA
rnacentral:rRNA from 2 species